CUUUAAAUUUAAGUUUAUCGCGGGAUUUUUAACGACAUUCACCGGUUUCGUAAAGCGGUCGUUUGUUUUGGCGCAAUGCGGAAGUGUCGUCUUGAUGCAGUUUUUUGGCUAAAAAGUUGACGAAUUCUUCGUCUCACAAAGUCUGUCAUUUGUUUUACGUUUGCCAUCAGUUUUAGGCAGUAACUGUUAGCUGUCGAGAGUACCGGAACAGACUGUGAAGUAUUUCUAUAGAUCUAAAUAUUCGCCUUAUUCCAGUUACCCAUAAUCCUUUGCGGCAUGAUGACUUCCGGUUUAGAUUUGACAGCUGAUCAGCUGAUUAUAAAAUAUUACGGGAAACUACUUAUAAUAUGACCUAGUAUAUCGCCAGACAUACUGUACUUUGAAUGGGAAGCUCAAAUUUAUAUCAAGCUAAAUUCCAUUUCGAUGUGUAGAUAUGAUGUAUUUCAAUUCUUGUUGAAGUAAAACUACCAGACAUGUCAAAAUCAGCACUGAACAUUAAUAGAGACUUAACUGACAUCAGAGAUUACAACAGUGUUGCUGGCUUGAAAGCUGAUAGACUGAAAAAGCUAUGUCAGUCCUACAACAUAGAUGUGAAAUUACCAAAAAAGGCACGUAUUGUAUUGUUGUG
rnacentral:lncRNA from 1 species